UAUCUGCUCUGUGCCCAUAAGCCC
rnacentral:siRNA from 1 species